rnacentral:lncRNA from 1 species
UUCAUCCACCUAGCCACCUCUACAACCUGACAACCCAUUGCAUCAUGACACCUUCUAUCAUCUUUCAGCCAGAAUACCUUGAGACCUCCUAGCCACCCCAUGGCAACCUUCUUAAAAUAAUUUAUUCUGGGCUACCUCGUCAAUCUGUUAACCCAUUGCAUCAAGACGGUGAUGUUGGCGAUGAGCUGGUUGACACUGGAUGAGCAAACAUAUUUCCACCUCCACUGUGUGGAGUCAAACACUCUCAGCCUCUGGUCUGCUGCACUCACCUGCACUGCAGGACACAAUCAAGACUGUACGUGACUGAAACACAAACAAACAAGUGUAAUAAGUCUCAAAAGUGACAGCAGUAUUCUGCUAAAUCAGCAGAUAUAACAAGCAAACCGGUCUCACCGAGGGCCCAGAUGGCGGCUCCCAGCCCUCCCAGAAUAAUCAAGAUCAGAGAAACUGCAGCGACCACCCGGCAUGGACUGAAGAUGCUCAUGCCUGGACGUCCUGAAGGACAUAAACCAAACAGGGCUUUCAGUAUGGGGACAAAG